GGAUGUGAGGGUGAUGUGGUUGUGACAUCUGUCACCCCAUUGAUCGCCAGGGUUGAUUCAGCUGAUCUGGCUGGCUAGGCAGGUGUUCCCUUCCUCCCUCACCAUUCCAUGUGUGUCCCUCCUGAAGAUUCAUGCUCAAAGAGGACAAUCUUCUCCCAUAGAGGAGGACCAUUCUUCAAUCAAGGGUCUACGAGCAGCUGUGCUCCCCUGCUAGAACCUCCAAGCUCUCAGGGUCCAAAAUGGCCAUAGGAAGUGGCAGAAGUCCUAAUCUAUGAAUGGCAAACUUCGUAGGGGUUGAAGGUCUAUUGAG
rnacentral:snRNA from 1 species